rnacentral:rRNA from 1 species
UGGGGAAUAUUGGGCAAUGGAGGAAACUCUGACCCAGCGACGCCGCGUGCGGGAUGAAGGCCUUCGGGUUGUAAACCGCUUUCAGCAGGGAAGAAGCGAAAGUGACGGUACCUGCAGAAGAAGCACCGGCUAACUAUGUGCCAGCAGCCGCGGUAAUACAUAGGGUGCAAGCGUUGUCCGGAAUUAUUGGGCGUAAAGAGCUCGUAGGUGGUUCGUCACGUCGGAUGUGAAAAUCUGGGGCUCAACCCCAGACCUGCAUUCGAUACGGGCGAUCUAGAGUGUGGUAGGGGAGACUGGAACUCCUGGUGUAGCGGUGGAAUGCGCAGAUAUCAGGAGGAACACCAAUGGCGAAGGCAGGUCUCUGGGCCAUUACUGACACUGAGGAGCGAAAGCGUGGGGAGUGAACAGGAUUAGAUACCCUGGUAGUCCACGCCGUAAACGGUGGGCACUAGUUGUGGGAACCUUCCACGGUUUCUGCGACGCAGCUAACGCAUUAAGUGCCCCGCCUGGGGAGUACGAUCGCAAGAUUA